rnacentral:rRNA from 1 species
GAUGAACGCUGGCGGCGUGCCUAAUACAUGCAAGUCGAGCGGACAGACGAGGAGCUUGCUCCUCUGACGUUAGCGGCGGACGGGUGAGUAACACGUGGAUAACCUACCUUUAAGACUGGGAUAACUUCGGGAAACCGGAGCUAAUACCGGAUAAUAUAUUGAACCGCAUGGUUCAAUAGUGAAAGACGGUUUUGCUGUCACUUAUAGAUGGAUCCGCGCCGCAUUAGCUAGUUGGUAAGGUAACGGCUUACCAAGGCGACGAUGCGUAGCCGACCUGAGAGGGUGAUCGGCCACACUGGAACUGAGACACGGUCCAGACUCCUACGGGAGGCAGCAGUAGGGAAUCUUCCGCAAUGGGCGAAAGCCUGACGGAGCAACGCCGCGUGAGUGAUGAAGGUCUUCGGAUCGUAAAACUCUGUUAUUAGGGAAGAACAAAUGUGUAAGUAACUAUGCACGUCUUGACGGUACCUAAUCAGAAAGCCACGGCUAACUACGUG